UCAGACGUGGUGUACGGAACACGCUCGCUUCACCUAGGAAAGUCCCCUCGAAUUAAGCCAGAAUACGGGGUUCGACCCCCCGCGUCUGAA